rnacentral:rRNA from 1 species
GAUGAACGCUGGCGGCGUGCCUAAUACAUGCAAGUCGAGCGAACGGACGAGAAGCUUGCUUCUCUGAUGUUAGCGGCGGACGGGUGAGUAACACGUGGAUAACCUACCUAUAAGACUGGGAUAACUUCGGGAAACCGUAGCUAAUACCGGAUAAUAUUUUGAACCGCAUGGUUCAAAAGUGAAAGACGGUCUUGCUGUCACUUGUAGAUGGAUCCGCGCUGCAUUAGCUAGUUGGUAAGGUAACGGCUUACCAAGGCAACGAUGCAUAGCCGACCUGAGAGGGUGAUCGGCCACACUGGAACUGAGACACGGUCCAGACUCCUACGGGAGGCAGCAGUAGGGAAUCUUCCGCAAUGGGCGAAAGCCUGACGGAGCAACGCCGCGUGAGUGAUGAAGGUCUUCGGAUCGUAAAACUCUGUUAUUAGGGAAGAACAUAUGUGUAAGUAACUGUGCACAUCUUGACGGUACCUAAUCAGAAAGCCACGGCUAACUACGUG